rnacentral:rRNA from 1 species
GAUGAACGCUGGCGGCGUGCCUAAUACAUGCAAGUAGAACGCUGAAGCUUGGUGCUUGCACCGAGCGGAUGAGUUGCGAACGGGUGAGUAACGCGUAGGUAACCUGCCUCUUAGCGGGGGAUAACUAUUGGAAACGAUAGCUAAUACCGCAUAAAAGACGAUAUCGCAUGAUAUUGAUUUGAAAGGUGCAAAUGCAUCACUAAGAGAUGGACCUGCGUUGUAUUAGCUAGUUGGUGAGGUAACGGCUCACCAAGGCAACGAUACAUAGCCGACCUGAGAGGGUGAUCGGCCACAUUGGGACUGAGACACGGCCCAGACUCCUACGGGAGGCAGCAGUAGGGAAUCUUCGGCAAUGGGGGCAACCCUGACCGAGCAACGCCGCGUGAGUGAAGAAGGUUUUCGGAUCGUAAAGCUCUGUUGUAAGAGAAGAACGAGUGUGAGAGUGGAAAGUUCACACUGUGACGGUAACUACCAGA